UGGCGGACGGGUGAGUAACGCGUGGGGAACCUGCCUUGCACCCGGGGAUAACACUUAGAAAUAGGUGCUAAUACCGCAUAAGCGCACAGAGCCGCAUGGCUCGGUGUGAAAAACUCCGGUGGUGCAAGAUGGACCCGCGUCUGAUUAGCUGGUUGGCGGGGUAACGGCCCACCAAGGCGACGAUCAGUAGCCGGCCUGAGAGGGUGAACGGCCACAUUGGGACUGAGACACGGCCCAAGCUCCUACGGAAGGCAGCAG
rnacentral:rRNA from 1 species